CAAAAAAUGUACGCAAUCACGAGGAGUCUGCCGAAGAGACGCCAGGUGAAACUGAUUAAAUCAAUUAGCUAGAUCGUCACUGUGAUUCCUUUGCGAAACGGAAUGCACGGGACUCUGGAAAGAAAUUGUGUAUUGAAAUGUAAUGAAAGUUAGUUCUACUCAGGCAUCACACACCAAACAAUAGAAAGUUAUGUUAUUAUUUUACAUUAAACAAUCUGGAAAGGUAAUGUUAGCUUGUUUUCUAGUGUUGCUAAUAUCAGCUUCUGUGAGGCUAGCUAGCAAGCUAGCAGGGAUGGAGUUUUGUCAACAAACACUAAAUCACCGUCACAGCAAAAGCAGCCGGACAGUAUACCGAUAUGGACACUUCACCUCCAUGAAAGAAAGGAGAAUGGACGUCAAAUAAGCAUUAGGUUUGUGGCUGCAGGUGGAGGAGGAAGUGUCCCGAUCGGCCCGCCUCUAUCUCCUCGCCGCUGUGUCAACAUAUUUCAUCAUCAGAGGAUUCACUCCAUUUGCUUCAGAAUACACCUCUAACAUCCCCAAAAAAUUCAUGAAGAGGUGAAAAGAAGAUGAGUACCGGAGUGGGGGGACCGGUAGCGGAAGUCCUCCUUGGUGAGCAGCAGCAGGGCUUUGCCGUUCAUUUGGAAAGAGCCGCUGGUGAUCGGCCGCAGGGCGAACUCCUUCUCGGCCCAUCGCAGCCACUGGGCCACGUCCUCCCUGCUCCAAAAGACUGGCUGCAGACCUGGAGGUGGAAGGGUUGGGGGAGAAGGGGGAGGAGACGGGGUUGAGACCAGAGUUUUUGUAAAGAAGCAACACAGUGGAGGUGAUGGGGAAGGGAAGGAAGAGAAGUAGGAUGAGCUCAGUGGAGAAGAGGCAGAAGGACGGGGGGGAGGGGGGUUGGGGGCAAGGAAGGAAGAAAAGAAGGAAGGGGUGAAGGGGAUGGAGAUAAGGAGGAGGGAAAGGGGGCGGGGAGAGGAAGGAAGGAGGCAGAGGCAGUAAAAAGGAUAUUGAGGAAGUGGAGAUAAAAGCCAAAAGGAGGGAGUGAUUAUGGGAACGGCAGCAGAGAUAAAGGAAA